AAUCAACGCUGGCGGCGUGCCUAACACAUGCAAGUCGAACGAGAAAGCGGGGGCAACUCCGUGAGUAAAGUGGCAGACGGGUGAGUAACACGUGAACAACCUACCCUCGAGUGGGGAAUAACACCGCGAAAGCGGUGCUAAUACCGCAUAACAUCCCCGGAACGCAUGUUCUGGGAAUCAAGGGCGCAAGUCGCUUGAGGAGGGGUUCGCGCCUGAUUAGCUAGUUGGUGAGGUAACGGCCCACCAAGGCAAUGAUCAGUAGCCGGCCUGAGAGGGCGAACGGCCACACUGGAACUGAGACACGGUCCAGACUCCUACGGGAGGCAG
rnacentral:rRNA from 1 species